rnacentral:rRNA from 1 species
GACGAACCGUGCAAACGUUAUUCGGAAUCACUGGGCAUAAAGGGCGCGUAGGCGGCUUUCUAAGUCAGGGGUGAAAUCCGGCAGCUCAACUGUCGCAGUGCCUUUGAUACUGGAGAGCUCGAGGGAGGUAGGGGUCUGUGGAACUUCCGGUGGAGCGGUGAAAUGCGUUGAUAUCGGAAGGAACGCCGGUGGCGAAAGCGGGCUGCUGGACCUCUACUGACGCUGAGGCGCGAAAGCCAGGGGAGCGAACGGG